GCCCCGAGGCCACCAACCUGGGUCUGCUGCACGGGCAGGCUGGCGCUUACAUGGACGUGGCUGGGCGCUCGUCCCAGCUUCUGGAACCAUCUGCCCCCACCCCACUGUCUGCUCAAGCCUGGUGGUCUUCUUGCUUGCUCCGACUCUUUGCACCUGGCCUGCCGUCAGAUGUCAGCUUGCUGCGGGGCCUCAGAGCUGCCCAGGCCUCGGCCACCGAGUGCCAAGCUGGGUGCCGCCUCAUGUCCUCUCCUGCUGCGGACUGCAACAGCCCUUGCCCCCAGCAUGCUUGGAGGGGUUGGGCUGGGCUGCUGCUGCCUGCCUGGACGGUGUUGGGCAGGACCAGUUCAUGGACACUAGCCAAUGUGGGACAGAGUCAUGCUCCAGCUGCGGACAGGAGCCCCGGCAGCCUGGUGUGCUUGUCCAGGGUAGGUGCUGUCCUGCUGGGCUGGCCCGAGACUGCUUUCCCUGGAGGAGGAAACCAAGCCAGGCCUCUGACUUUCUCCUGCUGCUUCCCACGCUUUCUUGCCAGAGGCGAAUGGACCUUUGGGGACAUUCUAUUCCAAAUGCUGUAUCAUGGCCACAGAGAAGUGAUGCCCUGAGGCUCUAGUUGGACCCACUCCUGCCCCACACCCUGUGGUGCCUGCUGGCUCCUUGCUCCUCGCUCCUUGCUCCAGCCCCACAGCACUCCCCUGCUUCUGCCGUCCGUGCAGCACAGGCCUGGCACUGAAGGACGCUCUGCAGGUGGGGGACAGCUGUGUCAAUCCUCUUGGUUAAGGCGAGGCAGGCAGGAGCACCGGACACAUCAUCAGAGGCCAUGAAGGUCACCCUGGGUACCUGUUGGUCUCAGCGGGGAUUGUCAACGCCCCUGAUGCCAGCCACAAGAUGGUGUGCACCCCGUGUUUACAGGUGAGGUAAGUGGCUCAUCAGAACUCCGGGUGAUUGGGGCUAGUGACGGGACUGGGGAGGGUUCAGCAGAUCACGCGGGGCACCGCCCCCCUCAGGGCCAGGAGUGGGGAUGGAGAGGUCCCACCAGCUCAGGACUUGAAGACGAGGGUCAGGCCUUAGCUUUGACCCCAAUUUCUGAAGUCUGGGGCAGGGAGCAGCUUCUGAUGUACACUGGAGAGGAGAGGCCUUUGCCUGGCAGAAAGGUGCAGGCCGGCGCCCGGGUGUGCGGGAUGGCAGGUCUUGCAGGGGUACCUGUCAGCCCCUCCAGGGCCCCUCCUGCGGGUGCUAUGACCACACAGAUGUCCACCCUGGAAGCUGUGUGCGCCUGAGUGGCUCCUGACCCCACCCCAAGCCAGAGGGCACCAUGGAGGUGUGGAGGGGCCUUCUGCUCCUCCAUGUUCUUGGCUGCAAGAUCAUCCCGCACAGAGGCCUCAGCACCUGGGGGUGUGUGCACUGUCACUGGGGGUGGGAUGCUGCCCCCUUGCCUCCAGGAACCCUCCGGACCCCACAGACCCCUGGUCCAGCCACCAGAGUGUGGGGCAGCUGUCACUACUACACCCCCUUCAGAGAGGGACACCCCUCCCCACUAGCUCAGGGCUGCCUUCCUCCCCGACCUCUAGGCAAGAGGGAACCUGGCACCCAUGCCCUUAAUGAUACUGUGCCUCGGGGCCCAUUCCCUACUGUCAUAACUAUGUUCAGGUGCAUGGAACACGUUCCCCUGGUGCAGCCGCCACCAUCCGUCCAUCUCCAGAACCUUCUCAUCUUCCCAGAGGGAAACGCCAUACCCAUUACAGUGUCUUUUCAUUUGUUGCUGGUGGUGAAGAUGAGGUUUUUCCAAAAAUUCUGAUUUCUGCGUAAACUUGGGAGCCAGCCGGGUCCGGCAGCUGUGGCUGUGGCAGAGGCAGAGUUGACCCCACAGCCCCACCACGCUGCCUGCUUACCAUGGGCUUGCCUGUGACCCACCUCUGGAUGGGCGGCCUCUCCCCCACCAACCUGGCCCUGUGUGGGGCCCAGCUGGGCGCCCUGGCCUAGGGGAUGGCCCAGGUAGGUUCCGGGGGCAGGGAUGUGCUCAGGGCACAGGGGCCAGUGGGAGAGGCCUUGGGUGCUAUGCGGACAGGGCUCCGGGGUUGGGUUGCAGGCAGAUGGAGGGGCUGGGCUAGACGCGGCACAGGAGGCACACAGUGGCAGGUCCCCUCUGUGGCCACGGAGGCUGGAGCUCCAUUUCAGGUGCCAUCGGUCCUAGCCCGUGACCCAGGACAGGUGAGGGGCUACCCAGAAUGGAGAAGUGACCAGGCCCUGCAUCUCAGCCUCCGCGAGAGGGCAGUAGGGGCAUUGAGUCUGUAGGAGGUGGCAGGCUGUGAGAGGUAGACCUGUGAGAGGGUCUCCCCUGCCCCCGAACCUGGGUCGUGUCCCCGUACAUGGUAACGGCAGGCCAGGGGUCCUCGCCAACCCCUCUUCAAAGGGGCCGGAGGCUCAUGGUUGGAGAAGGGAACAUGACCUUGAAAUGGGGGGUGGAGCUAUGCGUCCCUAAGCAGAGCAGGCAAGGGGGUGCCCUCGCCUUGAUGUCAGACAUCCUUCUUCCAGAGCUAAGGCCAAACCUGUGUGAGGUCCCUGAGCCUGUUGGUUACAGAAGCCCCAGAAACUCCUCUGUGCCGGGCUGUUGCCUUGGGCACGAGGGCUCUGGUCAUGGAGGGAUUGUCCCUGAUGGCUGUGGCUUCUUCCCUGUACUCUGUCUUGCCCAGUCCCAAGCCGGCAUGGCUCAGCCGGGGGUCGCCCAGCACCAGGACCAAGGUCCAGACUUACGUCUGCCCCACAGCCCUGGCAGAGCCUCUGUCAGUCUAGUCAGGUCCUGAGAGCCUGGGGGUGUUGAGGAGGGUGGUGUGGGAGGGGGUGGCUCCAGCAGAGCCUGUGUAGAGGUCCCAGGAUGGCAGAAGGGUGGGCUCUGACCACCCCACCCCCCUCCUACUGGCCGAUGCCUCAGAAAAGUAGGAUCCCAGUGUCCGCACUGGCCAGUGGGAGAGGGAGAGCAGGGGGGAGCUCCACGCACAGCCAGGGGCUGUUUUCCUCACUUGAGCAGAUGGGGUCCAGGGCAGCUUCUGGGUCAACUUCUAACUUCUGAUUUGGAGGUACAGUUGGGGCUUCAACAGCGCAGGGGGUCCCAGCCACACAACUUUGGACCCCCUCAAGCUACCAUACCACCUGGCUGUUGACCGAAGCCGUGUCGAUAGAGUAGCCAUUGGUGAACACGCACUUUGCGUGUCAUGUAGUACGUACUGCGUUCUCACUGUGUGGGAGGCCGGGAGACAGCACUAAGGAAUCAUAAAGAAGAAAACAUACAUUUGCACUUUCUGCUGUAUUUAUCGGAAAAAAAUUUACAUACAGGUGGACCCGCCUGCAAUUCAGACCUGUGUUUGUGGUCAGUGGUAGAGUCAGUUGUGAAGUGUCCCUGUCCCCUGGAGCCAGCCCGACAAUCACUGGGACAGCCCACAGAACUCAUUCUGAGUCCUGUUCUCCAGGCCCCACAGUGGGUGUGUGUGCGUGCGUGUGCAGCACUGUGUGAGAGUCACGGCCCUCUCUGUGCACUUGCUGCCACAAUGGGGACAUGGAACCACGGGGUCUGCCCUGGGCAUGCUGACCCCAUCCCUAAUCCUGGCAAACUCUCAUCGGCUCCCCGCCACUGCAGUCCAUGCUCCCGGAAUGCACUGUCCAUGUCUUUGUGACGUCGGGUUUUCACUUGUGUACUGGGCGGUUCACCGGAGCUCACCAAGUAUCAGUAGCUGACUCUUGUACCUGCUGGCUGCCUGACCUCGGCUGCAAACGGGCCACCCAUCACCCCAGGACCCUUGGGUGGUCUCCAGUCUGUCUACUAGAAAUAAAGUGCUAUGAGUGUUCCCGA